rnacentral:rRNA from 1 species
ACUCCUACGGGAGGCAGCAGUGGGGAAUCUUGGACAAUGGGCGCAAGCCUGAUCCAGCCAUGCCGCGUGAGUGAUGAAGGCCGUUAGGGUCGUAAAGCUCUUUCGCCAGAGAUGAUAAUGACAGUAUCUGGUAAACGAAACCCCGGCUAACUCCGUGCCAGCAGCCGCGGUAAUACGGAGGGGUUAGCGUUGUUCGGAAUUACUGGGCGUAAAGCGCACGUAGGCGGAUUAGUUAGUCAGAGGUGAAAUCCCGGGGCUCAACCCCGGAACUGCCUUUGAUACUGCUAGUCUUGAGUUCGAGAGAGGUGAGUGGAAUUCCGAGUGUAGAGGUGAAAUUCGUAGAUAUUCGGAGGAACACCAGUGGCGAAGGCGGCUCACUGGCUCGAUACUGACGCUGAGGUGCGAAAGUGUGGGGAGCAAACAGGAUUAGAUACCCUGGUAGCGACUGA